GUGUCCUAAAAAAAAAAAAAGCCCGGCGAAAGCCGGAUUAAUACCGCAUACGAUCUCUGGAUGAAAGCGGGGGACCGAAAGGCCUCAAAAAAAAGGGGCGGCCGAUGGCAGAUUAGCUAGUUGGUGGGGUAAAGGUCUACCAAGGCGACGAUCUGUAGCUGGUCUGAGAGGACGACCAGCCACACUGGGACUGAAAAACGGCCCAGACUCCUACGGGAGGCAGCAGUGGGGAAUUUUGGGCAAUGGGGGCAACCCUGAUCCAGCAAUGCCGCGUGUGUGAAGAAGGCCUUCGGGUUGUAAAGCACUUUUUUCAGGGAAGAAAACCGCUUCUCUAAUACAGAGGUGGGAUGAUGUGGCGGGAAGAAUAAGCACCGGCUAACUACGUGCCAGCAGCCGCG
rnacentral:rRNA from 1 species